UACGGGAGGCAGCAGUGGGGAAUUUUGGACAAUGGGCGCAAGCCUGAUCCAGCCAUGCCGCGUGCGGGAAGAAGGCCUUCGGGUUGUAAACCGCUUUUGUCAGGGAAGAAAAGGUUCUGGUUAAUACCUGGGACUCAUGACGGUACCUGAAGAAUAAGCACCGGCUAACUACGUGCCAGCAGCCGCGGUAAUACGUAGGGUGCAAGCGUUAAUCGGAAUUACUGGGCGUAAAGCGUGCGCAGGCGGUUAUGCAAGACAGAGGUGAAAUCCCCGGGCUCAACCUGGGAACUGCCUUUUGUGACUGCAUGGCUAGAGUACGGUAGAGGGGGAUGGAAUUCCGCGUGUAGCAGUGAAAUGCGUAGAUAUGCGGAGGAACACCGAUGGCGAAGGCAAUCCCCUGGGACCUGUACUGACGCUCAUGCACGAAAGCGUGGGGAGCAAACAGGAUUAGAUACC
rnacentral:rRNA from 1 species